rnacentral:rRNA from 1 species
AAUGAACGCUGGCGGCAGGCCUAACACAUGCAAGUCGAACGGAUCCUUCGGGAUUAGUGGCGGACGGGUGAGUAACGCGUGGGAACAUACCCUUUGGUACGGAAUAGCCUCGGGAAACUGGGAGUAAUACCGUAUGUGGUCGAGAGACGAAAGAUUUAUCGCCAAAGGAUUGGCCCGCGUAGGAUUAGGUAGUCGGUGGGGUAAUGGCCUACCAAGCCGACGAUCCAUAGCUGGUUUGAGAGGAUGAUCAGCCACACUGGGACUGAGACACGGCCCAGACUCCUACGGGAGGCAGCAGUGGGGAAUCUUAGACAAUGGGGGAAACCCUGAUCUAGCCAUGCCGCGUGAUCGAUGAAGGCCUUAGGGUUGUAAAGAUCUUUCAGGUGGGAAGAUAAUGACUGUACCACCAGAAGAAGCCCCGGCUAACUCCGUGCCAGCAGCCGCGGUAA